rnacentral:rRNA from 1 species
AACGAACGCUGGCGGCAGGCCUAACACAUGCAAGUCGAACGAAGUCUUCGGACUUAGUGGCGCACGGGUGAGUAACACGUGGGAAUAUACCUUACGCUGGGGGAUAACAUCGGGAAACUGAUGCUAAUACCGCAUACGCCCUUCGGGGGAAAGAUUUAUCGGCGAAAGAUUAGCCCGCGUCCGAUUAGCUAGUUGGUGAGGUAAUGGCUCACCAAGGCUCCGAUCGGUAGCUGGUCUGAGAGGAUGACCAGCCACACUGGGACUGAGACACGGCCCAGACCCCUACGGGAGGCAGCAGUGGGGAAUAUUGGACGAUGGGCGCAAGCCUGAUCCAGCCAUGCCGCGUGAGUGAUGAAGGCCUUAGGGUUGUAAAGCUCUGUCACCCACGACGAUGAUGACGGUAGUGGGAGAAGAAGCCCCGGCUAACUUCGUG